rnacentral:rRNA from 1 species
AGACUAGAAUGAAUGGAUUUAUGAGGCAUCUCUUUCUUAAAUUAAAAAUUAAAAAUAAUUUUUUUAGUGAGGAAACUAAAAUGAUAAUGAGGGACGAGAAGACCCUAUUAAGCUUAAUAAAAUUAUUUUGUUGGGGAAACAAAAGAAGAAAAUUUCUUUUAAAAAAUUUUUUGAUAAAAUUUGAUUUUUUUUUAAAAAAAAUAGAAUAAGUUACUAUAGGGAUAACAGCAUAAUUUUUUUGAAAAGUUCUUAUUAAUAAAAAAUAUUAUGACCUCGAUGUUGGAUUAAAAUUAUUAUAUAAUGAAGUUGUUGUAUAAAUUAGUCUGUUCGACUAUUAAAUUUUUAC